GUGCUCACUUCUGUGGCACAUAUACCAAGAAUUAAAGUGAUACAGGAAAAUUAUCAUAGUUUCUGCACAAGAA
rnacentral:snRNA from 1 species